rnacentral:rRNA from 1 species
CAGCAGCCACGGGAAUACGUAGGUGGCAAGCGUUGUCCGGAAUUAUUGGGUGUAAAGGGCUCGCAGGCGGUUUCUUAAGUCUGAUGUGAAAGCCCCCGGCUCAACCGGGGAGGGUCAUUGGAAACUGGGAAACUUGAGUGCGGAAGAGGAGAGUGGAAUUCCACGUGUAGCGGUGAAAUGCGUAGAGAUGUGGAGGAACACCUGUGGCGGAGGCGACUCUCUGGUCUGUAACUGACGCUGAGGAGCGAAAGCGUGGGGAGCGAACAGGAUUAGAUACCCCCGUAGUCCCUGUCUCUUAUAA